CGUAUUACCGCGGCUGCUGGGAAUCACGGCAGCAUGAUCUAGCUUGCUAGAUUGAUGGCGAGUGGCGAACGGGUGAGUAAUACAUCGGAACGUGCCCUGUAGUGGGGGAUAACUAGUCGAAAGAUUAGCUAAUACCGCAUACGACCUGAGGGUGAAAGUGGGGGACCGCAAGGCCUCAUGCUAUAGGAGCGGCCGAUGUCUGAUUAGCUAGUUGGUGGGGUAAAGGCCCACCAAGGCGACGAUCAGUAGCUGGUCUGAGAGGACGAUCAGCCACACUGGGACUGAGACACGGCCCAGACUCCUACGGGAGGCAGCAGUGGGGAAUUUUGGACAAUGGGCGAAAGCCUGAUCCAGCAAUGCCGCGUGUGUGAAGAAGGCCUUCGGGUUGUAAAGCACUUUUGUCCGGAAAGAAAUGGCUCUGGUUAAUACCUGGGGUCGAUGACGGUACCGGAAGAAUAAGGACCGGCUAACUACGUGCCAGCAGCCNCGGUAAUACG
rnacentral:rRNA from 1 species